UGUUCUGUUUUUCUUUCAUUUUUAAUUUUAAUUGUAUUUUUCCUCAAAACAGGUCUGAUGACAGUCACAAAAAAACAGAAAGUGACACCACAAUGUCUAUGAAAAGUAGAAGACUAUUCAGAACAUGUCCCACUCUCUGUGAAAAGAAGGGUGAUAUAUGCUUGUCAGCACGGAAAGAACUACAAGAAGACAACCACAACAGAUGAUUUGCAUACUGAACAUGAAUACACAAGAAGAAAAAGGUUCCAUGUGGAUUGCCCAGCAAAACUUUGUCUGAUAUGUAGAAAGGACAUGGCAUCAGAGGUGAACGAUAUUCUGGCACUACAAGACCCAAACCUGGUGAUCAGCAAAGCCUUCAAACUGUGUAUUACACAGGGUGACUUGGCCACACUGAAGGAAGGUUGCUGGCUUAAUGACA